ACAAUCCCUGUCUCCCCACCAUGUCUCACUAUGCUGGGUGGGUGAGAUGUUGGGGCUAGUGGCAGGGGCUGCUGAAGGACACUCCGUGCUUCCACAGGAUCAGGUCCAGAGUAGGGUUGAUGCAAACAGCAUCCUGGAGCCACUGAAAAGUCCCAGAAACCAUGACUUAACCAGUAGUAAUGCGCCCUCCGUCUCCUGGAUUGUGGUCCUGAAUAUUACUGAAAAGAAGCCAGGCUCUUUGGAGAAAUGGAUGAUACCAGAUGUGGGGCAGGAAAUGUACAAGAAAAGAUGAAUCUAGGCAAUAUUAUCGGUGACUGCUAAUAGCACAAGAGGGACAACCAGACAUUGUGUGCUCCGGAUGGAAGUAUACAGCACCACCGAUGAAGUGUUCUUGCAAAGAGUUCCAGCCUGAAUCUGAUCAAGCUUCUAGAUCUAAAUACCAGUUGUUGGGGACAAGAUGAUAUUGGGGGAAGUGUGAAGUGCUUUGAAGGCUGCCAACAAAAUGCCAAGUCAGCCCAUUGACAGAAAAAGGAAGAGAAACCUUUGGAAAAUACAUUAUUGUUUCCCAUUAGCUUACUUUCCAUCUGAAUCUGAGCACCUGACCUGAGGAAGGAGAGUGAACAUAGAAUGGCGAAUUUGUUCUAGGACAGUGAGUGAUCUGAGAGUGUUGGGAAGAGGGAGCCAUGCUGCGUAGACCAGAAAGCAGGGCAAUGGAGGAAUGGAUACAAUAGAUGCAGAAAAAAACAUUUGAGAAAAUACAACAACAUGUGAUGAAAACUCUCAGGAAACCAGGGAUAAAUGGAAUUUCCUCAACCUGACAGAGCAUUUAUGAAAGACCUGCAGUUAACAUCAUAUUUACUGGUGAAAGAUUGAAUAAUUUCCCUCUAGGUUGGGAAAUAAGGAAAAGCAUGACCACUUUCACCACAUCUAUUUGACAUUGUACUGGAAGUCAUAGCCAGUGCAAUAAGACAGGAAAAAGAAGUAAGAGAUGACAUAUAUUGGGAAAGAAAUAAACUAUUCCCAGAUGACAUAAUUGUCUCCAUAGAAAAUCUUAAUAAAUCUAUUAAAAAGCUAUUAGAACAACUAAGUAAUUUUAUGGGCUUGUAGGACAUAAGGUCAAAAUGUACAAAAUGUACAAAGAUAAAUUGUAUUUCCCUAUAUUAGCAACAAAAGUAUCAGACUUGAAAUUAAUAGUGCCUUUUAAAAUAACAUCAAAAAUAUAAAAUCAUUUAGAGAAAAUAUAAAAUAUUUAUGGAAAACAUUUACACACAAAUCUGUACUUAUUGAAUAUAUUUUUAGUGUACUGAAAAAUAUUUGCUGAGAAAAAUUUUUAAAGACUUAAGAGACUUCCAGUUUAUGGUUCUGUAGUAAAGAUAUUGGAAGUCUCCACUCUGUCCUAACAACAGGUAAAAAGCUAAAUGAGCAAAAAAUCAACAACUCUUCUUAGAUCCAUAGGAGAGGGGAGGACACAGGACACAGGGCCAGUUACUACACCCAAGACUUGUGAGGCAGACAUGCAAAUGCAGGGAGUCAUGACUAGAAACCAGCACAGGAACCAGUGCCGGGGUAGGAAACCCUGAACUAUAAUUGACAAACUGCUGGAGGCUCAGUGUGGAAAAGUAUGAGAGUUAAAAACUCCAGGAGGACCCCAGUCAUAGGGGAGGAUCUCAUAAUUCUAUGAGAUUUAUCUCUAGGAGUUAGACUACUUUCCCACAGUAAAUAUCCAGGAAAAGUCCCCUUGUGAUUCUGGCAGGCAGAAGGGAAAAGGAAUCAUUUUGAAAUAUGCCUGGGUACUCUGUUCUUAACAAGGUCUGCACUCAGGGGAAACUAGUUAACCAGAGCUUAACUUUUGCUGGGGUAUUUUUCAGACUGGGGGAAAGGGAGAGCACGAGUUCUAGCUGGCUGUAGCAGUCUUGUCCCACCUCAGGUGGGGAAGAAAAAACCAAGAAACGCAUGUGAAGUUCAAAGUCAAGAGGCCCAGGCUCACUAAAAGACUAAGACCUAAUCACAGGACUGUAGAAAGCUUUCCCUCCCAUCACACCUCAUGACCACAUUACUAAAGGCCUAUUUACAGCAGUUCCUUCUACCCAGUACAUCAUAUCCAGCUAUCAAGAAAAAAUCACAAGGCAUACCAAGAGGCAAAAAACACACUUUGAGAGAGCAAGCAUCAGAACCAGACAUGUCAGGGAUGUUGGAAUUAUCACACCAAGGAUUUAAAAUGAUUAUGAUAUUUUAUUUUAUUUUAUUAUUUUAUUUUAUUUUAUUUAUUUUUUUAUGUUAUGUUGUUAUGUUAUGUUAUGUUAUGUUAUGUUAUGUUAUGUUAUGUUAUGUUAUGUUAUGUUAUGUUAAGGGAAGCUAAUGGAUAAAAUUGACUUUAUGCAAGAACAGAUGGUAUAUGUAAGCAGAGACAUCGAAGUCAUAAGAAAGAACCAAAAAGAAAUGCUAGAGAUGAAGAACACUGUAAGAGAAAUUUAGAUUGCUUUGAUGGGCUUAUUAGUAGAUUGGAUACAGCUGAGGAAAGAAUCUGUAGCUAGAGGCAAUUUCAGUGGAGUCCUUCAAGACUGAAAAGCAAAGAGAACAAAGACUGGAAAAAACGGAACAGGAUAUCCAAGGACUAUAGGACAACUACAAAAGGUAUAAAAUACAAAUAAUGGUAGUACCAGGAGGGAAGGGAGAUUGAAAGGAACAGAAAAAAUAUUUUAAGCAAUAGUGACAGAAAAUUUCCCAAAUUAAUGUCAGGCAUCAAACCACAGAUCCAGAAAGCUUAGAAAACACCAAGCAGGAUAAAUGCCAAAAAGCUACACAUAGGCAUAUUAUUUUCAAACUACAGAAAAUCAAAGAUAAUGAAAAAUUCUGAAAGAAGCCUGAGGGGGAAGAAAUCUUAUCUAUAAAAGAACAAGAUUACAUCUGACGUCUCAGAAACCAUGAGAGCAAGGAGAGUGUAGUGAAAUAUUUAAAAUCUUGAGGAAAAAAAUUGACCUAGAAUUCUGUACCCUGUGAAAUUAUCCUUCAAAAGUGAAGGAGAAAUUAAGACUUUCUCAGACAAACAGAAAUUGAGAUAAUGUGUUUCCAGUAUACCUACCUUGCAAGAAAUGUUAAAAGAAGUUUUUUAGAGAGAGGAAAAAUAGUACAUAGAUCAGUAACUUGGAUCUAAACAAGAAUACUGAGGAAGGAAAAUACUGAAGAAGGAAUACAUGAAGGUAAAAUAAAAACUUAUUUUUCUUAUUUUUAAUUGAUCUAAUAGGUAACAGUUCAUUUAAAAUGACUUGUGUCAUAGGGGCGCCUGGGUGGCUUAGCUGGUGAA